GGGAAUGCUUGUGUGUUUGUGAAUUGGGGGAGGGUAUUAUUGGGGCAAGAUAGUGGGCUCGUGGUAACAAGAAGUUAAACCGGAACUUCACACUGAGGCACUGGAUAUAAUAGGUAAGAAAUUCUGCUGUGAGAUCUGACACCAAAAUGAGGAAAUGCCAAAGGAGGCUGUCAAGAACGGUUUGGGGUUGCCAGGGUUUGAGGGGAAGGGGAUGUGAGGAGUGACGGUUCCAUGACGACAGGUUUCCUUCCUGGGUAAUGAAAAUGUUUUGGGGCUUGAUAUGGGUGUUGCUUGCAAAACACUGUGAAUGUACCAAAUGGCAGGGAACUGUAUACUUGAAAAUGGCUAACUGUAUGUUAUGUAAAUUUUGUCUCCAUGUAUUGGGAAAAAAGAAGAGUUUAGGUGGCUCUAAAACUCACAAGGAGUAUAAGAAGGGUUAGAGAAGACACUGAGGGAUUUUUUUAUGGGGAGAGUUGCUGCUGUGCUGAAUCUGCCCUCACCUAGCUCCGGCCAAGGGGCCGAUGGGCGGUGCCACUGUGACCUCCAGACAGCUUCUUGGCCAAGGUGACUCCAAGUCCUUCUCUGCCAGGGAGCACCAGGACUGAUGUUGACACUUGCCAGAGGAAUCUGGAAGUCAAAGUCCACACCUAUUGGCCUGGAACUCUGGCUGAGGCUUGCUCACAGGCGAAGCAGCAGUCUGAGGAAGCAUGAGUGGGUUAAGUUGCCUAAGUUGCCGAGAGGGAGAUUGGUGAAGGGGCUCAGGGACCCCCUUCCGCCCCCACCAGGAGAGCAGAAGUGGCUGCUUGGACCUUUCAUUUGGUGCAACUUUGAGGCAGGACUCACACCCUGGAUCUGUCAUUCCUGAAUGAAGCCUGCACCAGCGCCCUCAGACCAGGCUUCAUUAGAUCCAACUUAUUCCUAUGAACUGGCCUCUGAUCUUAAGCUCCUCUUCCAGAGAAAGGACAUAGAUAAGUAAAAUGUGCCCUUGCAAUGCUCUCGAUGUAUCAGGAAUUUCUUCAUUCUUAGAGGAAUCUCUAUGCUCUUUUACAUUCUGUAAAAACUCUUAACUGGUGCUAAAUCACCAUGUAGUAUAUACAAUGAACUUGGUCUCUCUCUACUGGUUAGUCCCUUUUAUUACCAUGGCCAGUGGUCUCCGGGAAGACAAUACAAUAGUCAGUUUUCCCCACAUCACAGUGAAGGGAAAUAGCCUGUUCCAAUGCUGGAUAUGCUAUAGGCACCCAUGAACUUGGUCUGCCCAAGUGACAGAACUUGUGGCAAUCUUCACAUUUCACUUUCACCCACAGAACUGGAGCAAGCUCCCCUUCCCUGUGGUUACGCUCUUCCUGGAGAGUGGGGAAAUCCCUUGCAUCACCUUGACUAGCAUCUCUAUAGCAAAUGCCACCUAGGUGUCAACCUUGCUAAAUGGCUCAGCUAUACAGCAAGUAUGCAGAAGCUGUGCAAUUCCUCCAGGGCAGACUUACUACACUGACACAGGACCAGACACAAAAGGGAGGUAACCGGUCUCCUUGAACACUACCUACCACCUGCCACCCCAAUAUUACUUACUGGUGUCCUGACAUGAACAUCACUAAAAAAUAUUGAGGACAGAGCAGUAAAUGCAGUUCAUGGUGAGGAAUACCAAGCCCCAGUUUCUGGUACACCCAGGUAAACAGGCCAACACCUUAUAAGAAUAAUGUCUCAGCUGACUGCAGGGACAGGGACCACCUGCGGGGUGGGCCGGUCUCCCUUUAUGUAAAACUAAUGGCACCUGGAGCCAAAUAGCACCACUAUUAAAUGUCUUUUUUUUUUUUUUUUUUG
rnacentral:lncRNA from 1 species